CCCUUAGAUGUUCUGGGCCGCACGCGCGCUACACUGAUGCAUUCAACGAGUUUCUUCCUGGUCCGAGAGGAAUGGGUAACCUUUUGAAAGUGCAUCGUGAUAGGGAUAGACUAUUGCAAUUAUUGGUCUUCAACGAGGAAUUCCUAGUAGACGUAGUUCAUCAGACUGCAUCGAUUACGUCCCUGCCCUUUGUACACACCGCCCGUCGCUCCUACCGAUUGAAUGCUCAGGUGAGCCAUUCGGACUUUCAUCAUGCUGGUUUCCAGUUUUGAUGAAGGAAAGUCUUGCGAACCUUAUCAUUUAGAGGAAGGAGGAGUCGUAACA
rnacentral:rRNA from 1 species